rnacentral:rRNA from 1 species
CCCUUAGAUGCUCUGGGCCGCACGCGCGCUACACUGGUCGAUGCAACGAGUUUCUUUCCUUGGCCGACAGGCCUGGGCAAUCUUUGAACAUCGAUCGUGAUCGGGAUAGAUUCUUGUAAUUUUUGUUCUUAAACGAGGAAUUCCUAGUAAACGCAAGUCAUCAGCUUGCAUUGAUUACGUCCCUGCCCUUUGUACACACCGCCCGUCGCACCUACCGAUUGAAUGGUCCGGUGAAAUCUCCGGACUGGCGUGAGUCGGAGCAAUCUGACAAACACCGGAAAGUUGAUUAAACCUUACCAUUUAGAGGAAGGUGAAGUCGUAACA